GUUUUUGUCCUGUUUUGCUCUCUGUUUCCCGUUUUGGAUUUUCUCCUUCGUUGUAUGUUCUCUAUAGACUAUAGAUACUCUGGAACUUUAAAAUGACGAUUUGAAUCGUCAAUUUACACACUUGAGGUUGAGAUCUUCAUCGUUGGUCUGUUUAUACAAACCGCAUCAGGAGUAAGGUAAGCUAUCUUCUCUGUCACCGGAGCGGUGUGGUUUUUCCGACAAGCGUUGCGGUUGUGGCCCUUUCCCGGCGGACGAAAGGCUUCGGUUUCUGGUUCCUCCUGGUUUGAAGACGCCGCUGGAGAUGCAGAGAAGUCUUUCACGGCUCAACCGCCUGGUUGGAGGCUGCGGCAGCGGCGGAAGACGCUUGUGGAUAGGUGGGUUUUUCCGGUGAGUGUUGUGGUGGUUAACGGUAGGUUCUCUUUUGGAUCUUAGAUGGCUUUCAGGGACUCUGGUUUUUGAGAGGUUUGUUGAGCCUCUUCCUCUCUCUCGUCACCCUGUUUUGCUUCCACCGAACCAGAUCUGAAGACUGUCUUACCUCGGGAAAGAUCUCCGGCUUAAGGAUUCGGAGACUAGAGGCUUGGAUCUGAGUAUGUCGUUUUGCUAGGAAGGGGAUUCGACAUUCAUUGGGUGGCGGAGUGUCGGAGAGUUGAUUUAUUCCGGAAGGCUUGUGGCGGGUCAGACUCGCCGUUGGGGACGGUUCUGCGACGGGAUCCGAAUACUCCGGUUAAAGGACCCAUCCGGCGGCAUAGUCGCAAAGCUGUGGGCCUUGUAUUCGCCGGUGCUAGUAAAUCUGAUUCUCUGCCUCCGCUUAACCGCCCGGCUUCAACUCUACGAUCUGUUUCCGGCCGCCGGUAGUUUCGUUCCGUUUUGUAACUGAUGCGUUGUUUGUAUAACAGGCCUUAAGGCCCAUUUGGGUUUAAGCCCUUUUAAUAAAAUUUAAAUUAAAAAAAAAAAAAAAAAAA